rnacentral:rRNA from 1 species
GGUGGGGAUUAGUGGCGAACGGGUGAGUAACACGUGGGCAAUCUGCCCUUCACUCUGGGACAAGCCCUGGAAACGGGGUCUAAUACCGGAUACCACUGCCGCAGGCAUCUGCGGUGGUUGAAAGCUCCGGCGGUGAAGGAUGAGCCCGCGGCCUAUCAGCUUGUUGGUGAGGUAAUGGCUCACCAAGGCGACGACGGGUAGCCGGCCUGAGAGGGCGACCGGCCACACUGGGACUGAGACACGGCCCAGACUCCUACGGGAGGCAGCAGUGGGGAAUAUUGCACAAUGGGCGCAAGCCUGAUGCAGCGACGCCGCGUGAGGGAUGACGGCCUUCGGGUUGUAAACCUCUUUCAGCAGGGAAGAAGCGCAAGUGACGGUACCUGCAGAAGAAGCGCCGGCUAACUACGUGCCAGCAGCCGCGGUAAUACGUAGGGCGCAAGCGUUGUCCGGAAUUAUUGGGCGUAAAGAGCUCGUAGGCGGCUUGUC